rnacentral:rRNA from 1 species
UACGUAGGGACCGAGCGUUGUCCGGAAUUAUUGGGCGUAAAGAGCUUGUAGGCGGUCUGUCGCGUCUGCUGUGAAAAUCCGGGGCUCAACCCCGGACUUGCAGUGGGUACGGGCAGACUAGAGUGUGGUAGGGGAGACUGGAAUUCCUGGUGUAGCGGUGAAAUGCGCAGAUAUCAGGAGGAACACCGAUGGCGAAGGCAGGUCUCUGGGCCACUACUGACGCUGAGAAGCGAAAGCAUGGGGAGCGAACAGG